rnacentral:lncRNA from 1 species
CGCCAUGUUGCCCAGGCUGGUCUCAAACUCCUGGGCUCAAGCAAUCCUCCCACGUCAGCCUCUCAAAGUGCUAGAAUUACAGGCAUGAGCCACUGCACCCGGCCAGAAUAAGGUCCUAAGGUAGUUGCAAAAGGCAAAAAUUGCAUACUCAAAAUUACCUUUGAAUAGCUCUUAAAUCAGUCGGUCAAGUAUUCUUCAAUAAGGCCAAAACAGCCAAUGUUCCUCUAGCACUGCAACAGAUCACUCACUGUUCAUUCGGCUGAAUAACAGAUGAAGUAGCUGACUAAGUUUAGGAAAGACUAAAAAUCACUGUCAGGGAAGGGAGCUAUUCACACUAUGAAAUGCAAUCAAGAACUAAAAGGACUUCUUCCAUCUCUCACUCAGGGACACACAUUCACUGAUCAGAAUAAAAGGAAUGGCUGAAUGACUCUCACUUGCACUCUUAAAUUAUAUUUCUCAAGUAUGUUCUCUCCUUUUCGUAAAGAAGACUAUACAUAGUUGAAUUUACAGAAAUUAACUAAAGUGAAAUGCAUGUGAUCUAACGCUUCCACUAAAAAUUCUAAAGGCGGUUCUAAUGCCAUACAAAUUUAAUGUUUAUAUUUUAUUGUGCUGAAUGUUCUAAAUUCUCAACAUUCCACUUAGCUAGCAGAACUCAGUUUUUUGUGGAACAAUUUAAAAAUUCCACCUGAUCGCCUAACUUUUCCUUCAGUCAAGGAUUAUAGUAGAGAAUUAAGGUGCAGUCUCAGGGAAAUGACAGAGAAAUUCCUCUCCUACAUAUGAGAAGGUGUGGAACACCAGUGAGGAUGUGGGUUAAUUCUGGCCAUGUUGUCUAAGGAGUGUUCCCACAUUCAAAAACAAUCAGAUGUCUGUCGUGAAGACAACAACCUGAUCAAAUCAUCUACAGAAAUGUGUGAAGCUGAAGUACAUCAGGACACUAAUUGCUUUUUUGAUGGAAGAAAAAAUGUACUCGACUACAAAAAAGAUGGGCAUCAUGAUCUACACUUUUGCAAUAGUGAAAAAUGAGGACGAAAUUGAUUAGAAUUGGGAAUUGGAGACAAAAAUGCACUUGGCUUGGUAUACGCAACGGACUUUCUAAAGCUUUAUGCUAAUCAGAAUUUUUACAUGGAACUGGCUUUCUGAAGAAAAUCAAAAAAGAAUAAAAAGCCCAGAAAGGCACUUUGGGAGCUGAGGCAGGAGGACUGCUUGGGUCUAGGAUUUCAAGACCAACGUGGGCAACAUAACAAGACUCUGUCUCUACAAUAAAAAACGUUUUUAAAUUAGCUGAGCAUAUUAACACACACAUGUAGCCCAAGCUACUAGGGAGGCUGAGGCAAGAAGAACCCUUGAGCUCAGGAGACCAGCCUGGCCACACAGCAUGACUCCGUCUCUAUUUUUUUCUUUUUAAGUCCAGAAAGUCUACAUUGUGGUUUUUAAUUUACUUAAUAAAUAACCAAAUACCUACUAUAUGCCAGGCAAUGAUCCACAUGCUUUGUCAUAAUUCUUGGGGAAGACACACAUAUUCCACUGUGGUUUUUCAAUAGAACAAAAGACUUAUAAAAUGUUUCAUUUUUAACCGAUAAUAACCAGGUACUACUCAAAGCUCAAAAUAUCUUUACUGGUCAGGUGCAGUGGCUAUAAGCCCAGCACUCUGGGAGGCUGAGGCAGGAGGACUGUUUGAGCCCAGGAAUUUAACAACAGUUUGGUCGACAUGGAAAGGCCCCCAUCUCUACAAAAAAUUUUAAAAAAAUUAGCCAGGCAUGGCCGGGCACAGUGGCUCAUGCCUGUAAUCCCAGAACUUUGGGAGGCUGAG